GACGAACGCUGGCGGCGUGCUUAACACAUGCAAGUCGAACGAAGUGGCGAACGGGUGAGUAACGCGUAAUCAACCUGCCCUUCAGAGGGGGAAAACAGUUGGAAACGACUGCUAAUACCGCAUACUGAAGGAGGGGAAUGCGUUUGAUUAGCUAGUUGGAGGGGGAACGGCCAACCAAGGCGCUGAUCAGUAGACGGUCUGAGGGGAGGAACGGCAACAAUGGGAGUGGUGCACGACCCAGACUUCUACGGGAGGCAGCAGUGGGGAAACGUCCGCAAUGGACGAAAGUCUGACUGAGCACAGCCGCGUGAGUGAUGACGGCCUUCGGGUUGUAAAGCUCUGUUAAUCGGGACGCGUUACCGGAAUAGAAAGCCACGGCUAACUACGUGCCAGCAGCCGCGGUAAUUC
rnacentral:rRNA from 1 species